rnacentral:rRNA from 1 species
AUUGAACGCUGGCGGCAUGCUUUACACAUGCAAGUCGAACGGUAACAGGCCGCAAGGUGCUGACGAGUGGCGAACGGGUGAGUAAUGCAUCGGAACGUGCCCAGUCGUGGGGAUAACGCAGCGAAAGCUGCGCUAAUACCGCAUACGAUCUAUGGAUGAAAGCGGGGGACCGUAAGGCCUCGCGCGAUUGGAGCGGCCGAUGUCAGAUUAGGUAGUUGGUGGGGGAAAGGCUGACCAAGCCAACGAUCUGUAGCUGGUCUGAGAGGACGACCAGCCACACUGGGACUGAGACACGGCCCAGACUCCUACGGGAGGCAGCAGUGGGGAAUUUUGGACAAUGGGCGCAAGCCUGAUCCAGCAAUGCCGCGUGCAGGAAGAAGGCCUUCGGGUUGUAAACUGCUUUUGUACGGAACGAAACGGCUCUGGUUAAUACCUGGGGCUAAUGACGGUACCGUAAGAAUAAGCACCGGCUAACUACGUGCCAGCCGCCGCCGUAACAC